rnacentral:rRNA from 1 species
CACGUAGUUAGCCGGGGCUUUCUUCUCAGGUACCGUCACCUUGCGAGCAGUUACUCUUGCAAGCGUUCUUCCCUGGCAACAGAGCUUUACGAUCCGAAAACCUUCAUCACUCACGCGGCGUUGCUCCGUCAGACUUUCGUCCAUUGCGGAAGAUUCCCUA